AUUGGACGCUGGCGGCAGGCCUAACACAUGCAAGUCGAGCGGUAGAGAGGUGCUUGCAUCUCUUGAGAGCGGCGGACGGGUGAGUAAUGCCUAGGAAUCUGCCUAGUGGUGGGGGAUAACGUUCGGAAACGGACGCUAAUACCGCAUACGUCCUACGGGAGAAAGCGGGGGAUCUUCGGACCUCGCGCCAUUAGAUGAGCCUAGGUCGGAUUAGCUAGUUGGUGAGGUAAUGGCUCACCAAGGCGACGAUCCGUAACUGGUCUGAGAGGAUGAUCAGGCACACUGGAACUGAGACACGGUCCAGACUCCUACGGGAGGCAGCAGUGGGGAAUAUUGGACAAUGGGCGAAAGCCUGAUCCAGCCAUGCCGCGUGUGUGAAGAAGGUCUUCGGAUUGUAAAGCACUUUAAGUUGGGAGGAAGGGUCGUAACCUAAUACGUUGCGGCUUUGACGUUACCGACAGAAUAAGCACCGGCUAACUUCGUGCCAGCAGCCGCUGUAAUAC
rnacentral:rRNA from 1 species